AUGACGAGGCGGGCUCCGGCGCGCGCCGGGGGCGGGGGCGGCCGAGUACUGCUGGUUCUACUGCUGGUCGCGGCCGCCGCAUUGGCCGCGCGCGCGGUCACCGACGCCUCCGACGUUAUUGCUAUGAAUGGACUGUACGUUUCGCUCGGAUCGCCAAGCCUUCCCGGGUGGAUUCCAAACGGUGGAGACCCCUGCGGUGAGGGUUGGCAGGGAGUUACCUGCACCGGCACAGGAAUAACCUCAAUAAAGAUGAAUGUUGCAAACCUGGGAGGGCAGCUGAGCAGCUUAGGGAACUUCACUUCAAUCACCACCAUAGAUCUUAGUAACAAUAAUAUUGGCGGGACUAUACCAGAAGAUCUGCCUCUCACACUGCAGAAUCUUUUCCUCUCUGCUAAUCAGCUCACUGGAAGUAUUCCCAGCUCAUUGUCCAAACUUACAGGUUUAUCAGCCAUGUCACUCAACGUCAACCAUCUAGAUGGAGAACUGCCAGAUGCUUUCGAUUCACUUGCUGGACUUAUAAAUCUGGAUAUUUCUGAGAACAACUUUACUGGUGUGUUACCACCUUCAAUGAAAAACCUGUCAUCUUUGACUACAUUGCGCAUACAAGACAAUCAACUGUCAGGGACCCUUGACAACUUGCAGGAUCUCCCCAUCAAAGACCUGAAUGUAGAGAACAACUUGUUUUCUGGACCAGUACCUCCGAAACUACAGAACAUACCGAUCUUCAAAAAGGAUGGUAAUCCAUUUAAUACGACUAUAGCCCCGUCAGCAUCACCGCCUUCAGUGUCACCACCUUCAUCAAUAGGAGCAGCACCAACUCCAACACCAGCAGGACCAAAACAAGCCCCAACACCAACAACAACGCCUACAGAUCUAAGUCCAACAAGAGCACCGUCACCUCCAUCGCCCCCUUCAAAAUCCCCUCCGCCCUCAAACUCUUCUGAUGGAUCAACUACUCGAGAUAACACCUCAUCAUCUCAGAAACAUAAUUCAUCAAAAAAGCUCAAGAUUGCCGGAUUUGUUCUUCUUGUGGUAGUGCUAUUCAUAUCUAUAGUCCUGCUGGUAAUCUUUUGUUUGUCCAAGUACCAAGAGAGACGGUCAAGAUAUGAUUAUAACAGAAGUCAGCUGGGAAGGGUGCAUCAUAGGGUUGAACCCCAAAUUAUGCCGGCUUCAGUGCAAAAAAGGGAUGAUACUAAAAAAGGUCCAGGUGAGACCCUUGAAAAGAGGAGCCGUGAGUCAAGUUUGGCAGCAGCAGCUCUCCCAAAGAAACCUGCUGAAAACCGAAAGGAGCACAUAAUUAAUUUGGAUCGGACAGACUCGGAACUUUUUGCAGUUGCACCCCCUCCCCCUCCCCCUCCACCACACCCUACUGAAAAAGUUGUUGUACAGCCUAAGCCCAUUGUUGCUCCAGAAAGGAGGCAUAGCCCUCCACCAAGGACAAGUACCCCGACAUCUGCCACACCCUACUCUGUUGCAUCUCUUCAGCAAUAUACAAGCAAUUUCAGAGAGCAGAAUGUGAUAAGAGAGAGUAGAUUAGGAAAGGUAUUCCUAGCUGAGCUUCCUGAAGGCAAGUUAUUGGAAGUUAUGAAGAUCGACAAUCCUAAUGGAAGAGUGUCAGUAGAUGACUUUCUAGAACUGGUUGCGCUUAUCUCAGAGAUCAAGCAUCCCAACACCCUUGAGUUAGUUGGAUACUGUGCUGAAUAUGGACAGCGAUUACUUGUAUACAAUCACUUCAGCAGAAAAACACUAGAUGAUGCACUUCAUGAUAGAGAGGAAAUCGACAUUGAGCUAUCAUGGAAUGCUCGUCUCCAGGUUGCUCUUAGCUCCGGAAAAGCCUUAGAGUAUCUUCAUGAAAGCUUCCAACCCCCGAUCGUGCAUCAGAAUUUUGAACCAGCUAAUGUUCUCCUAGAUGAUAAGUUGUCAGUGUGUGUUGCUGAAUGUGGACUAGCAGAGCUGAUGCCCUCAAGUUCUGUCACUCAGCUGUCAGGUCGGUUGCGCACAUUACUGAACUAUGAUGCGCCUGAAUUCCAGGAAUCUGGGAUCAUUUCAGAACGAGGCGAUGUUUACAGUUUUGGAGUAGUGAUGCUAGAACUUCUUACCGGGCGUAAACCAUACGAUAGUUCACGCCCACGCCAUGAACAGCAUCUUGUUAGAUGGGCCGGUUGUCAGCUCCAUGACAUUGAAUCCCUUUCCAAGAUGGUGGACCCUUCUAUUCGAGGGCAGUGCUCCGAGAAAGUAUUGUCGCGGUUUGCUGACAUAAUCAGCCGCUGUAUCCAGAGGGAGCCAGAAUUCAGGCCACCGGUGUCUGCAGUUGUCCAGGACAUAACUAGCAUUGUGAAUGCUUCUCGUGAGGAAUCAGAGUAA
rnacentral:rRNA from 1 species